UACCUGGCGGCAGCUUACCAUGCAAGUCGAGCGAAACGAUGAUAGCUUGCUAUCAGGCGUCGAGCGGCGGACGGGUGAGUAAUACUUAGGAAUCUACCUAGUAGUGGGGGAUAGCUCGGGGAAACUCGAAUUAAUACCGCAUACGACCUACGGGAGAAAGGGGGCAACUUGUUGCUCUCGCUAUUAGAUGAGCCUAAGUCGGAUUAGCUAGAUGGUGGGGUAAAGGCCUACCAUGGCGACGAUCUGUAGCUGGUCUGAGAGGAUGAUCAGCCACACCGGGACUGAGACACGGCCCGGACUCCUACGGGAGGCAGCAGUGGGGAAUAUUGGACAAUGGGGGCAACCCUGAUCCAGCCAUGCCGCGUGUGUGAAGAAGGCCUUUUGGUUGUAAAGCACUUUAAGCAGUGAAGAAGACUCCGUGGUUAAUACCCACGGACGAUGACAUUAGCUGCAGAAUAAGCACCGGCUAACUCUGUGCCAGCAGCCGCGGUAAU
rnacentral:rRNA from 1 species